rnacentral:rRNA from 1 species
GCUCAGAGCGAACGCUGGCGGCAGGCUUAACACAUGCAAGUCGAACGGGCACUUCGGUGCUAGUGGCAGACGGGUGAGUAACACGUGGGAACGUACCUUUCGGUUCGGAAUAAUUCAGGGAAACUUGGACUAAUACCGGAUACGCCCUUCGGGGGAAAGAUUUAUCGCCGAAAGAUCGGCCCGCGUCUGAUUAGCUAGUUGGUGAGGUAAAGGCUCACCAAGGCGACGAUCAGUAGCUGGUCUGAGAGGAUGAUCAGCCACAUUGGGACUGAGACACGGCCCAAACUCCUACGGGAGGCAGCAGUGGGGAAUAUUGGACAAUGGGCGAAAGCCUGAUCCAGCCAUGCCGCGUGAGUGAUGAAGGCCUUAGGGUUGUAAAGCUCUUUUUCCGGGAAGNNAAUGACUNACCGGAAGAAUAAGCCCCGCA